UGCGAGAAGGUGUAUUUGGCACAUAAGGUUUUGGUUCUUAAGGAGUUGGGUUGGGCCAUCUUUCGCGGC
rnacentral:tRNA from 1 species